UACGGAGGGUGCAAGCGUUAUCCGGAUUCACUGGGUUUAAAGGGUGCGUAGGUGGGCAGGUAAGUCAGUGGUGAAAUCUCCGGGCUUAACUCGGAAACUGCCAUUGAUACUAUCUGUCUUGAAUACCGUGGAGGUCAGCGGAAUAUGUCAUGUAGCGGUGAAAUGCUUAGAUAUGACAUAGAACACCAAUUGCGAAGGCAGCUCACUACGCGAAUAUUGACACUGAGGCACGAAAGCGUGGGGAUCAAACAGG
rnacentral:rRNA from 1 species